rnacentral:lncRNA from 1 species
CACCUACGUGUUAAGUGCUGCUAAGAGACUAUCUUCUUGAACUUUGAUUGCAAAGACUUUACACAUAGAAAAACACUAAUGCCUUUGCAACCAAGUAGUAUUACAUCCAAUGAGAAAUACAAUGUAAAUUGUCUCUGUACGUUGUUGGAGAUCUGCUUUUAUAAAUUACUACAAGCCUAUGUCACUAUAGUAAAGACCUCUGCACUUCCACCAGUUCUUCAUGUGAUAUUCAGUGUUGUGUGCCUUUUACCUCCUUUUUGACGCCUCCGAGAUUUGUGCUGCUUGCAGGUCACUGCAUACUCACCUGUGUGAUUUUGGGGAUAGCCAGGAAAAUCCGUGCUGAGGAUCCCUGUUCUGCUGUGUUCUUCCUGUCCUGAUGUAUCAUGAGGAUGUCACUGGCUCCAUCAUGUGCCCUUAGUAUGGGAGGGAAAAAAAGAUUUUACUGAGGUCUAUCAACUUCUGGUGGGAGUAGAUCCCACUAUACCCAAG